CAAUAGCGUAUAUUAAAGUUGUUGCAGUUAAGAAGCUCGUAGUUGGAUUUCUGUGAGAGUGCCGGUGUCGGCUGAUGCUUGUACGCAGGCGCUCUUACAUCCUUCUGUUAACUGAUCUUGGCAUUUUAUUGCUGGUUCAGGGCUCAGAUAUUUUACCUUGAGAAAAUUAGAGUGUUUCAGGCAGGCUUAUGCCGGAAUACAUUAGCAUGGAAUAAUGGAACAGGACCUGUGCGUCUUUCGGGGCGCCGGUCUCCGUUAUUGGUUUCGGGGACUAAAGUAAUGAUUAAUAGGGAUAGUUGGGGGCAUUAGUAUUUAAUAGUCAGAGGUGAAAUUCUCGGAUUUGUUAAAGACUAACUUAUGCGAAANGANNNGCCAAGGAUGUUUUCAUNAA
rnacentral:rRNA from 1 species